UGGUCACAUCAGGUUGAAACACCGAUUCUCCUCCGAUCGCUGAACUUAAGCAACGUAGAGCCUGGUCUGUAGCUAUAUGGGUGACCGCUUGGAAAUACCAGGUGUUGUAAG